rfam:Dipodomys ordii contig_45087, whole genome shotgun sequence.
UGGGCUUGGCGGCUCCGGCGGCCUCCGGGAAGGGAGGCGGCGCGCGCGCUCCGGCCAUUUUCAGCUCAGCUGGGCCCGGAGUUCGUUUGGCCCUGUAGUACCCCGAGGGC